AAAUGCGAUAAGUAAUGUGAAUUGCAGUAUUCAGUGAAUCAUCGAAUCUUUGAACGCACAUUGCGCCCGCCAGUAUUCUGGCGGGCAUGCCUGUUCGAGCGUCAUUUCAACCAUCAAGCCCCGGGCUUGUGUUGGGGACCUGCGGCUGCCGCAGGCCCUGAAAACCAGUGGCGGGCUCGCUGUCACACCGAGCGUAGUAGAUUCUCAUCUCGCUCAGGGCGUGCUGCGGGUUCCGGCCGUAAAACAGCCUUAUUUUACCCAAGGUUGACCUCGGAUCAGGUAGGAAGACCCGCUGAACUUAAGC
rnacentral:misc_RNA from 1 species